rnacentral:rRNA from 1 species
UGGGGAAUUUUCCGCAAUGGGCGAAAGCCUGACGGAGCAAUACCGCGUGAGGGAUGACGGCCUAUGGGUUGUAAACCUCUUUUUUCAGGGAGGAAUAAAUGACGUGUACCUGAAGAAUAAGCAUCGGCUAACU